UACGUAGGGGGCAAGCGUUGUCCGGAAUCAUUGGGCGUAAAGCGCGCGUAGGCGGUCCGAUAAGUCGGCUGUGAAAGUCAGGGGCUCAACCCUUGAAAGCCGGCCGAUACUGUCGGACUAGAGUCCGGAAGAGGCAAGUGGAAUUCCCGGUGUAGCGGUGAAAUGCGCAGAUAUCGGGAGGAACACCAAUGGCGAAGGCAGCUUGCUGGGACGGUACUGACGCUGAGGCGCGAAAAGCGUGGGGAGCAAACAGG
rnacentral:rRNA from 1 species